rnacentral:rRNA from 1 species
AUUGAACGCUGGCGGCAUGCCUUACACAUGCAAGUCGAACGGCAGCACGGGUGCUUGCACCUGGAGGCGAGUGGCGAACGGGUGAGUAAUACAUCGGAACAUGUCCUGUAGUGGGGGAUAGCCCGGCGAAAGCCGGAUUAAUACCGCAUACGAUCUACGGAUGAAAGCGGGGGACCUUCGGGCCUCGCGCUAUAGGGUUGGCCGAUGGCUGAUUAGCUAGUUGGUGGGGUAAAGGCCUACCAAGGCGACGAUCAGUAGCUGGUCUGAGAGGGCGACCAGCCACACUGGGACUGAGACACGGCCCAGACUCCUACGGGAGGCAGCAGUGGGGAAUUUUGGGCAAUGGGCGAAAGCCUGAUCCAGCAAUGCCGCGUGUGUGAAGAAGGCCUUCGGGUUGUAAAGCCCUUUUGUCCGGGAAGAAAACCUUUGCCCUUAAACGGUCGGGGGAUGACGGUACCGGAAGAAUAAGCACCGGCUAACUACGUG